CUGGGAUAUUGAGACAGCUUCAGUGCAAAAGGAGAGCUUUGCUAUGGAAAUACGUAAUAAUAAUAAUAAUAACAAUUAUAUAUAUAUAUAUAUAUUUUUUUUUUUCCAGGCAACCUGAAGCCUAGUUGAUUAAUUUGCCUGCUGGAGAUCAAAGUCUGUAUUUUUCUGCUUCCUUCCCGUAUUUAUCAAAGUAACUGUGACAAGUGACAGUCAAACAACAGUAAUGUCAAAAAGCUUUGAAAUAAAAGCCAAGAUAUGGAUUUGAUUCAAAUGGAUUUGUUGGGAAUCUCUUAAGAAGAUGCAUUUCCUUCUCAGAAAACAAAUGUUAUUGGCCAAAACAGCAGUUCUCGUGAUGUAUCCUUAUCUCAGUGUUUGCAACUUAAAUGUAAUAAUUUGAGGUGUUAAGACUUCCCAGGAGCCAUAUGCCUAUGAAUCAGAUUCAGAAGACUGGUUGGCUGAAACCGAAGUCUUCCAUGCUGAUUGUGAUGUGUGCUGCAAUACACAUGGGAAGUUGUCUUUUUUUUUUUUUUUCCAUAUUUUUCCAUUAGUGCUUCUACUGAAAGACUGCAAGGACUGUCUCUUGUUUUUUCAAAAGCAAGUCAUUCAUUAGGAUGCUUUAUCUUUGCUAAAAGACAUGUUUUCAACUUCAACACGGCCACUGGCCAGAAAAGCAGUUUUUUUUUUUUUUUCCUUUAAAAAAGCGUUGGAAAUCAUCAGUCUGACUCAGGAAGAAGGAUUUCAGUUUCAAAGAGAGAGGCAACUAGCUGACACCUGGAGAUUAUGAAAGUCAUGAAAUUCAGCCAAAAUGAUAAUUAUACUUUUUUGGAAAACAGUCAGGAGUAUGCUAAUUUUGCAUAAAUUAUGGAAUUUUGCAAAGCUUCAUAUGUCCUGUCUUCUGGAGAAACGGAUUCUUCUGCUGAUAGCCAUGUAUAGUUGUUAGUUUAUUGAAAUUUAGUGGAAAGUUUUUGUGCAUUAUGAUCUAUACUUAUCAAAUAAACCACAAAUCCUAAUUAAAAUGGAGUAGUUU
rnacentral:lncRNA from 1 species